rnacentral:rRNA from 1 species
ACGAACGCUGGCGGCGUGCUUAACACAUGCAAGUCGAACGGAAAGGCCCUGCUUUUGUGGGGUGCUCGAGUGGCGAACGGGUGAGUAACACGUGAGUAACCUGCCCUUGACUUUGGGAUAACUUCAGGAAACUGGGGCUAAUACCGGAUAGGAGCUCCUGCUGCAUGGUGGGGGUUGGAAAGUUUCGGCGGUUGGGGAUGGACUCGCGGCUUAUCAGCUUGUUGGUGGGGUAGUGGCUUACCAAGGCUUUGACGGGUAGCCGGCCUGAGAGGGUGACCGGCCACAUUGGGUCUGAGAUACGGCCCAGACUACUACGGGAGGCAGCAGUGGGGAAUAUUGAACGAUGGACGGAAGACUGAUGCAGCAGCGCCGCGUGCGGGGUGACGGCCUUCGGGUUGUAAACCGCUUUCGCCUGUGACGAAGCGUGAGUGACGGUAAUGGGUAAAGAAGCACCGACUAACUACGUG